ACUCGCAGUAUACCGGUAUUGACGAUAACCGUGAUAUUCAAAGCAUGAAAUAUCGAUAUCGUGUUAAUUUAGGGUGUGACGAUAUACCAGUAUUGGCGAUAACCACAAUAUUUAAAAUGAAUAGGACUCUUAUGAUAUCAUGACUUGUAAAUACUCCAGCGCCAGUACCUGACUGAUCUCUCAGGUGGCAGUAUUGCACCUUAACGCUGACACCUGUCAAACAAGAAGAAGACACAGCGCACGCAGCGGGAGAGUGAGAGGCUCUGUCCACAUCCGGCCUAAAAAAGUAAAUUAAGCUCGACAGAAUGGGAGUUUUUCGGCUCCUUAGACAGUCCAGUCCGCAGGAUUUGCCUAGCUACAGUCAGUGCGAAGGGUGGCAACACCACCAACCUUUUUACCCACCUCCGUGUCCAUCACCCUGCAGAUUACGCCAUUUUACAGAGGAAUCACAUCAAAGGAAAAUGCAAACAACUCACUCGUCAAUGCAGUGACAGCCAGAGAUAGAGGGAUAGAAAGACAGGAACAGCUCUUUGAUCUUAGUCCCCCCCUCUGUUUUGGCCAUCCAAAAAGGCACAAGCAUAAGAUCAUCUCCUCUCUGAAGUUCGUCGGAUCGAUGAGGCCAAGGGAGGCACGAAGGGGAGUUAGUUCUUCACCCCUUCUUUUUUUCUCAUUUUAGUCUUUUUUUAAUACUUCCUCGCAUUUGUUCUCAGUAUUGAUGGGUUUGCGUGGUGCUGAGGUGGCAUGCGGGGCGUGGAAAUGACUUUGAGAGCAGAGCUGCAUGUCCCUGUCAAGGUCUGGAUGCAAACACAGUCACAUACACACAUAACACAUAAACACAUACACACAUACAAUCUCAGAAAGACUGGCAGAACAAGAACUAUAAGAGCAUGUUUACACCAGGUAUUAACAUCCAUUUUGGAUGACAAGUUUUAAACAUAAAGAUGCAAAGUAAAGGACUAAACAGGGUGUGAAAUGUUGAGAUUCACCAACUUUCACAAAAUUUGGGAAAUCACAUACAAAUGCAUGCAAAUAUAUGCACAAGACUUCAGAAAACAUCUUCAGUUGUUUUAUAUCAACAUGCAAUUACUCAAAGCACAUUUGAACUUCAUUUGCAAUUCUGCUCGCAACAUCAUUUUAUACUGAAAAAUGUAAGAACUAAGCAAAAUGUCCCAUUAAAAUUUAAGUUAAAGUUUUGUCAUUUAAAAUAUAAACAAUAGCAAUUAUAUCACUGUAAUAAUUGCAUGCAGAAAAUUGUUAUUGGUCUUCCGUAAUUGAUCAAGCAUAUAUUUAGAUGUUUGCCACAGAUCCCUAAAUAUGAGCAUUCCUUAUCCUAAAACUUAAAAGGUAUCUAUCUUUUAUAAACAACCAAUUUUUACACCGAAAAUGUAAUAUUAUAAAUAUAAAAUGAGUUUCUAUUAUCACAUUAUUAUAUUUUUUCCUACCCAGGUA